rnacentral:misc_RNA from 1 species
GUACCCUCCAGCCCUGCUGGGUGUUGGGCGUUUGUUCCGCUGCGCGCGUGAACUCGCCUCAAAUACAUUGGCAGCCAGCCGUCCCGGUGGGAGCGCAGCACAUUUUGCGCUCUGCCCGGCGUGCGGUGGCGUCCACAAGACUACCUUCUUAC